UGGGGAAUUUUGCACAAUGGGGGAAACCCUGAUGCAGCGACGCCGCGUGAUUUAGAAGGCCUUCGGGUUGUAAAAAUCUUUUCUAUGGGAAGAAAAUGACAGUACCAUAGGAAUAAGGACCGGCUAAUUACGUGCCAGCAGCCGCGGUAAUACGUAAGGUCCGAGCGUUGUCCGGAAUCAUUGGGCGUAAAGGGUACGUAGGCGGGUAAGCAAGUUAGAAGUGAAAUCCUAUAGCGCAACUAUAGUAAGCUUUUAAAACUGCUCAUCUUGAGGUAUGGAAGUGAAAGUGGAAUUCCUAGUGUAGCGGUGAAAUGCGCAGAUAUUAGGAGGAAUACCGGUGGCGAAGGCGACUUUCUGGCCAUAACCUGACGCUGAGGUACGAAAGCGUGGGUAGCAAGCAGG
rnacentral:rRNA from 1 species